rnacentral:tRNA from 1 species
GGGCCGGUAGUUCAAUUGGGAGAACACCUCGUUCGCAAUGAGGAGGUCGGGAGUUCAAUUCUCCCCCGGUCCA